rnacentral:lncRNA from 1 species
CCAUGGGGAUGGUAUGGGGACACCAUGGGGAUGCUAUGGGGACACUAUGGGGAUGCUACAGGGACACUAUGGGGAUGCUACAGGGACACUAUGGGGAUGCUACAGGGACACUAUGGGGACACCAUGGGGAUGCUAUGGGGACGCCAUGGGGAUGGCAUGGGGAUGGCAUGGGGACGCCAUGGGGACACCAUGGGGAUGCUAUGGGGACACCAUGGGGAUGCUACGGGGACACCAUGGGGAUGCUAUGGGGACAGCAUGGGGACACUAUGGGGAUGCUAUGGGGAUACUAUGGGGAUGCUAUGGGGACGCCAUGGAGAUGGUAUGGGGACAGUACAGGGACGCCAUGGGGAUGCCAUGGGGAUGCUACGGGGACGCUAUGGGGAUGCUAUGGGGAUGCUAUGGGGACACCACGGGGAUGCUAUGGGGACACCAUGGGGAUGCUAUGGGGACACCAUGGGGAUGCUAUGGGGACGGCAUGGGGACACCAUGGGGAUGGUAUGGGGACGCUAUGGGGACAGUACAGGGAUGCCAUGGGGAUGCCAUGGGGAUGCUACGGGGACACUAUGGGGACACUAUGGGGAUGCUAUAGGGACACCACAGGGAUGCUAUAGGGACACCACGGGGAUGCUAUGGGGACACUAUGGGGAUGCUAUGGGGACGCCAUGGGGAUGCUAUAGGGACGCCAUGGGGAUGCUAUAGGGACGCCAUGGGGACGCCAUGGGGACGCCAUGGAGAUGCUAUGGGGACACCAUGGGGAUGGUAUGGGGACACUAUGGGGACACCAUGGGGAUGCUAUGGGGACACCACGGGGAUGCUACGGGGACACUAUGGGGACAGCAUGGGGAUGCUAUGGGGAUGCUAUGGGGAUGGCAUUGUGAUAGAAAUGUGGAGAUAAUAUAAUUUUUCUAAUUUUUUUUUUUUCUAAUUAUAGAUUUCUAUAAUUUGACUUAAAUUGUCAAAUUUAUGACAGCAUGGGGAUGCUAUGGGGACAGCAUGGGGACGCCAUAGGGACACUAUGGGGAUGCUACGGGGACACCAUGGGGAUGCUAUGGGGAUGCCAUGAGGAUGCCAUGGGGACACUGUGGGGACAGUACAGGGACGCCAUGGGGAUGCUAUGGGGACGCUAUGGGGACUCUAUGGGGACGCUAUGGGGCACAGACCCGCUGCUGCUGGUGGGCCACCUUCCUC